UGGCUUAGAAGCAGCCACCAUUUAAAGAGUGCGUAAUAGCUCACUAGUCGAGUGAUCCUGCGCCGAAAAUGUAACGGGGCUAAACACAUUACCGAAAUCGUGGAUGCAACUAUGUUGCAUGGUAGGAGAGCGUUCUAAGGGCGAUGAAGCUAGACCGUAAGGACUGGUGGAGCGCUUAGAAGUGAGAAUGCCGGUAUGAGUAGCGAAAGAUCAGUGAGAAUCUGGUCCACCGUAUGACUAAGGUUUCCUGGGGAAGGCUCGUCCUCCCAGGGUUAGUCGGGACCUAAGCCGAGGCCGAGAGGCGUAGGCGAUGGAUAACAGGUUGAGAUUCCUGUACUGGUUUGAUUUGUUUGAACGAUGGAGGGACGCAGGAGGCUAGAGAUGCGUGCUGUUGGAUAUGCACGUCCAAGCAACAAGUCUGAUGAUGAGUCAAAUGCUUAUCGUCUUAAGGACAAGUUGUGACGGGGAGCGAAAUUAAAGUAGCGAAGUGAUCGAUGUCACACUGCCGAGAAAAGCUUCUAGUUAGGAUCAGACCACCCGUACCGCAAACCGACACAGGUAGUCGAGGCGAGUAGCCUAAGGUGAGCGAGAGAACUCUCGUUAAGGAACUCGGCAAAAUGACCCCGUAACUUCGGGAGAAGGGGUGCUGCACAAUGUGCAGCCGCAGUGAAUAGGCCCAGGCGACUGUUUAUCAAAAACACAGGUUUCUGCAAAAUCGUAAGAUGAAGUAUAGGGGCUGACGCCUGCCCGGUGCUGGAAGGUUAAGAGGAUGGGUUAGCGUAAGCGAAGCUCAGAAUUGAAGCCCCAGUAAACGGCGGCCGUAACUAUAACGGUCCUAAGGUAGCGAAAUUCCUUGUCGGGUAAGUUCCGACCCGCACGAAAGGCGUAACGAUCUGGGCACUGUCUCAACGAGAGACUCGGUGAAAUUAUAAUACCCGUGAAGAUGCGGGUUACCCGCGACAGGACGGAAAGACCCCAUGGAGCUUUACUGUAGCUUGAUAUUGGGUGUUUGUACAACUUGUACAGGAUAGGUAGGAGCCGUAGAAGUCGGAACGCUAGUUUCGAUCGAGGCGCUGGUGGGAUACUACCCUCGUUGUAUGAACACUCUAACCCUCGUCGCUUAUCGCGGCGGGAGACAGUGAAUUUGACAUACCGAUGUUAAAUGAAGCCCGUCUUGCAGUCGCGCCGCGCGCAUUAAAAGGCGGGAAAGGAAUAAAAGGCCAUAUUACAUAUAUGAGAGGGAAGAAACUAUUUUCUGAAGAAGGAUUAGAGUAUAUAACUAAUAUAAUAAGGUAGGAAACAGACUGUAUUUUUGCCGUAUAGCGCGUCAUAUCAUAUUUUGCGCUAUGCGGUUUUUAUAAUAGUUGUUUCGUAACAAGACGCUUAGUAAACGGAUGCGUAAUUUAAUUUAAAUUCAAUAUGAUACGAUAAUAUGGUUUUUGGUUUCGUAUUAUUGAACAAAAAACUAUAAAAUUAUAUGGCAAAACAAGGCAUACUGUGAUAUACUAAAACAUAUAUCAAAAUGGGCAAUAUAAAAUAUGCACAAUUAAGAAAGGAGCAUAUGAUAUGCGGGUAAAAUUUAUUUCAAAAGCGCUUUCGGCGGUUUUGGCGGCAGCUAUGCUGGUGACGUCUCUGCCGACAGCGGCGUUAGCAGUUCAGGCAGAUGAGCCGGAAGCGGCGACAGCUCAGAAGCCAAAUUUGUUAAA
rnacentral:rRNA from 1 species